rnacentral:rRNA from 1 species
UACAGAGGUGACUAACGUUGUCCGGAAUUAUUGGGCGUAAAGGGCGCGUAGGUGGUUGAGUAAGUCAGGUGUGAAAGCUCUGGGCUUAACCCAGGAAUUGCGUCUGAUACUGCUCGGCUUGAGUACGGUAGAGGAGGGUGGAAUUCCCAGUGUAGCGGUGAAAUGCGUAGAUAUCUGGAGGAACACCGGUGGCGAAGGCGGCAUCCUGGACCGGCAUUGACGCUGAGGCGCGAAAGCCAGGGGAGCAAACGGG